UCGUAAAGGUGCAUGAGUGGUGUUUGGUUUGUUAGCGUGUGGUUGGCUGCGGCGUUUGCAACAACUUCCAUGCUUUCAGACCUCUUCAGUUGUGCGGCAAGGCUUGUAUCGCCUUGAGCGUAUUGUGGGUUUUCUGUGUUGGCUACCUAAUCAAUGGUAUCGGUUGGAUUGAUCAAUGUUUCAUUUCGUCUAUCGUCGCAUUUGCGGCGUGAGAUGAACCUUGAWGCGGUCUCUUUGAUCCACCUCGUCGAAGCGCAUGCUUUGGCGUUGUGGCACAUUGAGCAUUGCUUGGUCUCUUGUAUACGGAACAUAUAGUGGGCAUGGAUCUAACGAUUCUCGUUUGCCCUCAUAUUAGCGUAACGCUUCUCUUACACGACUUGCUCCACGUUUUAGCUCGUACGGACGUGGUGCUAUGUCGAAGAGGAAUGCUACCUGGUUGAUCCUGCCAGUAGUCAWWSBAUGCUUGUCUCAAAGAUUAAGCCAUGCAUGUGUAAGU
rnacentral:misc_RNA from 1 species